GAUUAGGGAUUUCACUUCUUCGUACGC
rnacentral:sRNA from 1 species